rnacentral:lncRNA from 1 species
UUAUGAGUCAACAACAAUGAUAAUGGGAAAUCAUUAAACAGAAGCUAAAAAGAUCGAAAUAUACAGAGCAAAACUUGCAAAAUUUUGACAAACAAGAGCUGUAAUUUCUGCAAUUGAAUGAGCACCCCGUGUCAUUUGAUGAUGAAUUUUAGUUCCCCCAGGUUGAUUUGUAGAUCGGAGCAUAUUUGAGCCUUUAAUUGAAAUGGGGUCGAGCGGCAUUUCCUGCUUACAAUCGGGCGCAGUAAGUAUCGCCUAUAAAGUUUUUUAGCUCUUCUCUUUCCUUUCCCGAUUGGUUCUGUGUCAGGUGAGUGGCGGAACUUAUCCUGCAUGAAAGCACUUUGCUAUAGGCCUUCCUCGUUAGACGAAUUCACUCAAUCAAAGAUUUUUCCUUCAUUCAUCACCUUUGUAGAAGUACUGAUCUCCCUACCAUUUUAUUCUCUUCCACUUUGGCCAAUAUGAGUUCACCUGGUACUAACGGCAUUUCCUGCUUGCAGGUUCACUUCAUGUUAGAUUCGAGCUAAAUUGACGAAGACCCAUAUAUGUAUGUUGUCCGCCAUAAUGAGUAGGAGGUAAUGGUGGUGGUGCGCGAUCGUGAUUCUCAAUGCCGACGUCAAAAUUUGGGUAGCACUGUGCGUGGUUCGCUGCAUUCGAAUAGGCAAAAUCUUUCCCAUUUUCUUUAGAUGUUGGUAUGGAGUUGAAGAAUGGGAUAAGGACAUGUUGAUGGUGUGGAAAUCCAGUGGUUUGUGUGGCGGUACAGUGGUCGGGUUCGUGAGUAGAAGGUGUCGGCUUGAGGUGGAGUAGAUGCAGUGGAAGUGUGGAACUGGGUU